UAGGGAAUCUUCCGCAAUGGGCGAAAGCCUGACGGAGCAAUGCCGCGUGAGUGAAGAAGGCCUUCGGGUCGUAAAACUCUGUUAUAAGAGAAGAACAAAUUGUAGAGUAACUGCUACAGUCUUGACGGUAUCUUAUCAGAAAGCCACGGCUAACUACGUGCCAGCAGCCGCGGUAAUACGUAGGUGGCAAGCGUUGUCCGGAUUUAUUGGGCGUAAAGGGAGCGCAGGUGGUUUCUUAAGUCUGAUGUGAAAGCCCACGGCUUAACCGUGGAGGGUCAUUGGAAACUGGGAAACUUGAGUACAGAAGAGGAAUGUGGAACUCCAUGUGUAGCGGUGGAAUGCGUAGAUAUAUGGAAGAACACCAGUGGCGAAGGCGACAUUCUGGUCUGUUACUGACACUGAGGCUCGAAAGCGUGGGGAGCAAACAGGAUUAGAUACCCUGGUAGUCCACGCCGUAAACGAUGAGUGCUAGGUGUUGGGAGGGUUUUCCCGCCCCUUCAGUGCCGCAGUUAACGCAUUUAAGCACUCCGCCUGGGGGAGUACGACCGCAAGGUUGAAACUC
rnacentral:rRNA from 1 species